UACGAAGGGUGCAAGCGUUACUCGGAAUUACUGGGCGUAAAGCGUGCGUAGGUGGUGAGUUAAGUCUGUCGUGAAAGCCCCGGGCUCAACCUGGGAAUGGCGAUGGAUACUGGCUCGCUAGAGUGCGGUAGAGGAGAGUGGAAUUCCCGGUGUAGCAGUGAAAUGCGCAGAUAUCGGGAGGAACACCAGUAGCGAAGGCGGCUCGCUGGGCCACAACUGACGCUGAGGAGCGAAAGCAUGGGGAGCGAACAGG
rnacentral:rRNA from 1 species